GACGAACGCUGGCGGCGUGCCUAACACAUGCAAGUCGAACGGUGAAUGCGGGAGCUUGCUCCCUCCGGAUCAGUGGCGAACGGGUGCGUAACACGUGAGCAAUCUGCCCCGAACUCUGGGAUAAGCGUUGGUAACGACGUCUAAUACCGGAUACGACGCGGGAGGGCAUCCUCCCCGCGUGGAAAGAACUUCGGUUCGGGAUGAGCUCGCGGCCUAUGAGCUUGUUGGUGAGGUAACGGCUCACCAAGGCGACGCCGGGUAGCCGGCCUGAGAGGGUGACCGGCCACACUGGGACUGAGAGACGGCCCAGUCGGCUACGGGCGGCAGCAGUGGAGAAUAUUGCACAAUGGGCGCAAGCCUGAGGCAGCAGCGCCGCGUGCGGGACGACGGCCUUCGGGUUGUAAACCUCUUUUAGCAGGGAAGAAGCGAAAGUGACGGUACCUGCAGAGAAAGCACCGGCUAACUACGUG
rnacentral:rRNA from 1 species